UCCCCCUGCCGUGUCCCUCCUCCCACUCCUGGGGUGGGCAGGGCCACUUGCCCGUGGUGGUGACGGAACACUGCCUAAGACUCUUCCACUCAAACCUCUCCUCUUUUCGACGCCCUGACCGCCCCUCCCAGAGUUAGCAGCUCCAGUUCCAUGUGGGCAUUCCUACCCCUGCCCCCAGCACUUUCUGUGUGGCUCUGUCUGUGCAACCCCAGGCUCUCCUGGCUGCAUGUUCACCUUUGUGUCCCUCCAGCACCCGCGCAGUGAGCGUCCAGCACGAGGCAGGCACCAAGAGUGCCUUCUUGUCCCCAGGUUCCAUCCUCACCAAUCCAGCCCUCAGACGAUCCCCACCCCUUCUUAGAACUCAGAGAUGAUCUCCAAAACUGGGAGGAAAAAAGACUCAGAGAGGUUAAAUAACCGACCCAAGGCACACAGCUGUUUCUCAGGGGAGCCCGGAUUCAAACCCAGGGACUCGGAUCCUAGAGCCUGUGCUUUCACCCACUGCACUGCACCAUAUGUGUACCAGGAUGGUAGAAUCAGAGGUCUGGAUUCCAGCACUUUCCUGCCAGAGGCUAUGCUGGGUGUGCCGAGCACCACCCUGAGGGAGAAGCAGUAACUCAGCAACUACACUCCCGAGGAAGAGGCAGUCCCCAGUCAGCGGGAGCAAUGGGAGCUGCUGAUGACAAAAUAAGCCACAGAAUGAAUGGCUCUGCUCCACCGGCCUUCUCUCCUCCCUGCCCCCUUCUCCCCAGCUGACCAGACGCAGGGCAGUGGCAGGGAGGGGCUGAUACCAAACCCGGUCUGGGAGACUGCCCGGAGGGAACACAGGUUCCCAAGCUCCUUUUGGAGAGGCUGGAUGUGAGUUCACCUUGAACCUUUCAGCUGGUAAUGGCCACCUCUUGGAGAAUGUAACUGGUUACCAGAAAACCCCGGAGGUUGUCUCCCAGUACCUAGCCUGAAGUGGGUGUGGCCACAGAACCUACCAAAAUUUAAAUAAAAGCAAGAACCAGGCGUGCCCAGGGAUGGCGUUGGGCUGUUUAUCCGCUCUCUGCUCUUCCCAUUCCUCCUUCCUUUGGGAUUUUGCCCAAGACUUUGUAAAUUAAUUUUUCUGUGCCUGUUUCCUCAUAAAAUAAACAAGCUAACCU